UUUGUACCCGCUGAAUUUAAGCAUAUCAGUAAGCAGAGGAACCCCAUCAAACUUGGAUUUUGUAAGUAGUUGCGAAUGAACACAAACUUGAUCACUUUGGCAAUCUUUGCACAUCAUUGUGCAACAAUUUGUAUAUGUAGGCACAGUGCUAUCAAAGCUGCAUGCAAGUGAUUUUUGAAAGGAUACAACAUGGGAUGUGAUAUUCAUGUGUGUGUGCCUGCUUUGUCCACAGCCUGUGCUGUAUGAAUCACAUUUCUUGCAACUGAAAUGCUAAUUGCAUGGUAAAGUUCAUGUGACAUGACACAAGCUUGAGAUUCAUGAUGUGCAAGUACCAUGAGGGAAAUGUGAAAAGGACUUUGAAAAGAGAAUUAAAGAAAGCCUGCAUUUGCUGACAAUAAAAGCAAGUGUGGAUGUUUAUGUAAUUGUUACUGCAUCAAUCAAUGCUCAUCAUGAUUACUGCAUGCUUUAUAUUACAGCUCAGAACACGAAGUGUGUGUAACAGCUCUGCUUUGAUUUUUCCCACGUGGGAUCAGUUGAAACUUUGUGAGAGCACUCUUCAGUUCCCUCACGUACCCACCAGCUUUGUCCACUCGUGUGUUGGCACACAUGUAAUGAUGAUGUGUUUAUGCAAGAUACUUCUGUGCUCACCAACAUGUUGUGCAAAUCUUCACUUGACCCGUCUUGAAACC
rnacentral:rRNA from 1 species